UUAUUAAAAUGGUUGGAUCUACAAGUAGGAUCCCACUGAAUAUUUCAUCUACCACCUCCAAAGAAGCGGAGAUCACAGAGGGAAAGCAUUCUAAAAGACUUAGUCUUGAUUUCAGGAGCUCAGUUUAACAGAAGGCAUGGAGAGACAAAGGACUAAGAAGAUUUGACAGAAGGAUCAAAGGAGCAUCUGUGCCAUAAGGGACCUGAGCCAAUCUAUUUUGGAGAAACAUUCCGAGGGAAAGACCCCACACGUUAUGGAAGAAAAGCAACAGACAGAAGAUAGGAAAAACAGGUCAUGUUUAUGAAACCAGCUUGAAGACUAUGCCACACUGAGGAGUUUGGUUUUUCAUUAGGCAAAGAAACGAGCUGUUUUUUCUUCAAUGUUCAUCGGAAAACUUGCCCAGCAGCUGUGAGUGACUCUUCAGCUUUCGAAUCAUUGUCUUGGAAUCUUCUAAACCAGCAAGACCAUACUCAUUUUAUUUUAACAUAGAAUUUAGGAGCAAAGGACUAGACAGUCCUCAAAGUAAUAAAAUAAAAGAAAGAAAAAUCAAAUUAGAAACAAAGAAUGCCCCUUUCCCAACCAAUUCCUUUGGUUUAACCUU